UACGUAGGUGGCGAGCGUUGUCCGGAUUUACUGGGCGUAAAGAGCGCGCAGGCGGCUGGUCAAGUCCGAUGUGAAAGCUCCCGGCUUAACUGGGAAAUUGCAUCGGAAACUGAUCGGCUGGAAGGUGGGAGAGGGUAGCGGAAUUCCCGGUGUAGUGGUGAAAUGCGUAGAUAUCGGGAGGAACACCAGUGGCGAAGGCGGUUCUCUGGGCAUUACCUGACGCUGAGGAGCGAAAGUGUGGGGAGCGAACAGG
rnacentral:rRNA from 1 species